UACGUAGGGGGCAAGCGUUGUCCGGAAUCAUUGGGCGUAAAGCGCGUGUAGGCGGCCAGGUAAGUCCGUUCUGAAAGCCCGGGGCUCAACCCCGGGAGGCGGAUGGAUACUGCUUGGCUCGAGUCCGGAAGAGGUGAGUGGAAUUCCCGGUGUAGCGGUGAAAUGCGCAGAUAUCGGGAGGAACACCAAUGGCGAAGGCAGCUCACUGGGACGGUACUGACGCUCAUGCACGAAAGCGUGGGGAGCAAACAGG
rnacentral:rRNA from 1 species